UACGUAGGGUGCAAGCGUUGUCCGGAAUUAUUGGGCGUAAAGAGCUCGUAGGCGGUCUGUCGCGUCUGCUGUGAAAACUCAGGGCUUAACCCUGAGCUUGCAGUGGGUACGGGCAGACUAGAGUGCGGUAGGGGAGACUGGAAUUCCUGGUGUAGCGGUGAAAAUGCGUAGAUAUCUGGAGGAACACCGGUGGCGAAGGCGGCAUCCUGGACCGGUAUUGACGCUGAGGCGCGAAAAGCC
rnacentral:rRNA from 1 species